AGAAGAUGCUGAUGCCAGAUCUGUGGUAGUGGUGACAGACUAUUCAUUUAUCUCAGAGGAAGAAGAGGAGGACCCCCAGGCACCCACCUAAGAUUAUAGACAUCAACUUCUGCCUGCCCUUCAAUUACAGGGCUUCACUGUGUCCCUCAGCCUGGCCUCAAAUGUGAUUGUCAAUCUUGCUUGUCGACUGCAUCUAGAACGAACUAGAAGCCAAGUGGUUGAACACACCUGUGAGGGAUUUCUCCCACUUUCAACCUGGAUAGCACCUCUCGUAGCAGGCCCCACAAGAGGACAGAGACAAAGCCCAUGCUUUCUGCCCGUUUGUUCUCACUCUCACUGGCCAGUACACUUCCCCUGCUGUUGAGGCGGCAUUCCUUUCCAACUUCUUUGGAAUUCCCAUGUAGACUGAAAAUCAGCAGCUCUCCAGGACUCCAACACCAGAUUGGGACCACGGAAACAUUCAGCUUCAUGUACUUAUUCUCGCCCUUUCCUCAUGAAACUACCGUGUUAGACUACCAGGCUGCAGUCUAUAAACUCUUCUAAUAAAUCCCCCUUUAAUAUA